UUUCAGUCGUGAGGAAGGUGUUAGGGUUAAUAACCUUAGCAAUUGACGUUAGCGACAGAAGAAGCACCGGCUAACUCCGUGCCAGCAGCCGCGGUAAUACGGAGGGUGCGAGCGUUAAUCGGAAUUACUGGGCGUAAAGGGCACGCAGGCGGUUAAUUAAGUUGGAUGUGAAAUCCCCGGGCUUAACCUGGGAAUGGCAUUCAAGACUGGUUAGCUAGAGUCUUGUAGAGGGGGGUAGAAUUCCAUGUGUAGCGGUGAAAUGCGUAGAGAUGUGGAGGAAUACCGGUGGCGAAGGCGGCCCCCUGGACAAAGACUGACGCUCAUGUGCGAAAGCGUGGGGAGCAAACAGGAUUAGAUACCCUGGUAGUCCACGCUGUAAACGAUGUCGAUUUGGAGGUUGUGGUCAAGAACUGUGGCCUCCGGAGCUAACGCGUUAAAUCGACCGCCUGGGGAGUACGGCCGCAAGGUUAAAACUCAAAUGAAUUGACGGGGGCCCGCACAAGCGGUGGAGCAUGUGGUUUAAUUCGAUGC
rnacentral:rRNA from 1 species